AGACAAUAACAGUCUAUGUUUUCUUUCAAAUUCCUACUUCCUGAAACGGAGGCCGUUUAUGAGAAACAGUAUAUUUCAGGGAGGUUGUGCUAUAAUUAACUUUUUUCAGAGUUAGAUUUGCUAGUUUUAUAGUGUAUUUCCUCUUCUUCGAGAUAAAGGAAGUUCUCCUAAAUCAGAAGUGGAUUGAAAUCUAAUAAACGCAGAUUUUGGGUACCUCAGGCUUGAAGGGGCUCUUUUAUUGAGAAUCGAUGUCUUCUCCUAGGUAAUUGAUCACUGUAGACCCAGGGACACUCGACUCAUCAUCGAGGGAGGGUAAUCAUCAUGAAUAAUCAAAAAGCUGUAGCUGUGCUACUGCAAGAGUGCAAGCAAGUGCUGGACCAGCUCUUGUUGGAGGCGUCAGAUGUGUUAGAGGAGGACAAGAGGGAGGAUCAGCGGUGCAGAGCUUCACUCCCCAGCGAGUUAAGAACCCUGAUCCAGGAGGCAAAGGAAAUGAAGUGGCCCUUCGUGCCUGAAAAGUGGCAGUACAAACAAGCUGUGGGCCCAGAGGACAAAACAAACCUGCAGGAUGUGAUUGGCGCCGGGUUGGAGCAGUUACUGGCGUCCCUGAAAGCCUCCAUCCUCGCCCGGGAGUGUGCCACCGCAGCUGCCAUUGUGUUCCUGAGCGACCGGUUCCUGUACGGGCUCGACGUCUCGGGCGAACUCCUGCAGGUCGCCCAAGGGCUGCACAAGCUGCAGCCAGCAACGCCAAUUGCCCCGCAGGUGGUUAUUCGCCAAGCCCGAAUCUCGAUGCACUCAGAUUUACAGAUUUGCUAUAGUGUGACAUGGAAAUCAAGGUCAAGUGGGAAACUUUUAAAAGCAGAGUAUAUCCUGAGCAGUCUGAUAAGCAACAGUGGAGCAACAGGUACCUGGCUGUACAGAAAUGAAAGCGACAAGGUCCUGGUGCAGUCGGUCUGCAUACAGAUCAGAGGGCAAAUUCUGCAAAAGUUAGGGAUGUGGUACGAAGCAGCAGAGUUAAUAUGGGCCUCAAUCAUAGGAUAUCUGACACUUCCUCAGCCAGAUAAAAAGGGCAUUUCCACAUCACUAGGUAUACUGGCAGAUAUCUUUGUUUCCAUGAGCAGGAAAGAUUAUGAAAAGUUUAAAAGCAAUCCUGAAAUUAACUUGGGCUUGCUGAAGGAGUUUGACCACCAUUUGCUGUCAGCCGCUGAAGCCUGCAAGCUGGCAGCCGCCUUCAGUCCCUACACGCCUCUCUUCGUGCUCACGGCUAUGAAUAUACGUGGCACAUGCCUGUUGUCAUAUAGUAGUUCUAAUGACUGUCCUCCAGGAAUGAAAAAUUCAUAUCUGUGUGAAGCCAAAGAGGCCUUUGAAAUUGGCCUCCUUACCAAGAAAUGUGAUGAACCAGUUACUGGAAAACAGGAGCUCCAUAGUUUCCUCAAAGCUGCUUUCGGUCUCACCACGGUGCACCAGAGGCUCUAUGGGGAGAUGGAGACGGUCCACACAGCAAGUCAGCUCUGUAGUGAAGCUAUGGGAAAGCUGUAUACUUUCAGUAUUUCCUCCAGAAGUCAGGAGAGAGAAGCUGUCUCUCAGGAAGUCAUGUCUCUUAUCACCAGGGUGAAGGAACAGUUACAAGUUCAAAGCUUCUCAAAUUUAGAUGACAAGUCUUAUGUUCCAGAGGGUUUCAAGUGUGGGUUGGAGAAACCCAUCUUGCAUGGGCAAGUGGAUUUCCAAAAAAUUAUUGAAACCUAUUCACAGCACCACACUUCAGUGUGUGAAAUAUUUGAAAGCACUUGUGGAAACAACAAAAAUAAACAGGAAGAUACAAAAACAGGAGUCUGUAUCACUGAUCUAAAAACAGAAACAAAAAACAUAGAUACUGUGAGUACUACUGAGGACAAACCACGUUUUGAAAAAGGCAUGGUAAUAUCUUCCUCCCAAAUGGCUAGGAGUGGUUGGGAGAAACUCAGGAGGGUAGGAAGGAGAAACCUGGCCAGUUCUGAUGCAUUUCGAGUCUCCGUGGAUGAAGAUGUGGAGACUGAGGCUGAGUCAACACACCAUAGCAGUGGUGGGGGAGCUGUUUUGAACAAGUCUCUGAGCGACAGCCAGAGCUCCAGUUCUUGGAGCAAGUUAUCAGGGUGUAGUUCUUCUACAAGCUGGGAGGAAGUGAAUUACCAUGUUGGUGAUAUGUCAGCCAGAAGAGAGCCUAGCAAGGAAGAGCAUCAUGUGGACACUCAGUGUUCCACUGCCCUGGCAGAAGAACUGGAGAUCGAUGGGGAGAGCAGAGCUGUACAUCCACUGUCUUCAGAGCUUCAAGGGCUCUCUCUCCAGGUGUCCAGGGAUGACAGUUUAGAGUCUUCUCAAAGUCAACUACCCAAGCCCAUGCCCUUGACAACUUUUCCUCCUCAUAACACAACAGGCACUUUGUUGGCCUCAGGUGCAGGGCUGUUAAAAGGAGCUCCAGAAGGUAUGUGGGAAGCUGGAAAUGUGGGGUCCAGAGAUACUUCUGCUCAUUCCAGACCCUCAUUUGGUUCUGCUUCUUGGUCUUCUGAUUCUGGUUGGCCCAAGAACAUGGCCACAUAUCCUCCGAUCCAAGAAGAAGAAACCUUUGAAAUAAUUGAUAAGUUUCCAGAAAUCAACUGUGAUGCCAAAGACAGUCAUGAAGAAGAGAAGAGAGAAGAAAUCAAAGGAGACACAGGUCCCACAUUUAAAGAUAGCCCCUGCUGGGUUGACGCAGAAGAAGAAACAGCAGAGAGAGCAGAAGAUAGGCCCGUAGACUUCCACAUAGUUGUGGACGAGCCUCUGGGCAAAAGUUCCAUGAUAGCAUGUAGCACUUUCACUCCUCAUUGGCUUGUUCAAAAUCCUGACUCAGGGAAAAUUGGUGGCUCAGUCAAAGAGCAGGGCAUUGACCCUGAUGCCUCCACGGUGGAUGAGGAGAGCCAACUGCUGGACAGCACAGAUGUUCACGCCACAAGCACACAUGGCUCUCACAGAUCAUGUGCUCUGAGGCAGCUGCGUGGUCAGGGAGCCCAGAUCCCCAAUUCCUCUGUAAGUGGUAACACUUCCAUCCCUGUCCUCAGCGAGGACUGCACUACCACAGAGGAAGCAAAUGAACCUGGAAACCUGCUAAACUGCAGCCAGAGCUCCAGCUCGUCCUUGGCAUGGUGGUUGGAAUCACCUGCAAUUUCCAGUGGUUCUUCUGAGGGAGAAAAUCCAUGGUCCUUUCUGAAUUCCAGUGGAAGUUCUUUUGUUUCAUUGCCAGGAAUGACAACACAAAAGAUCCUUAAGGCUCGCACCCUGCAGCCUGAUGACUUUGAAAAACUCUUGGCAGGGGUGAGGCAUGAUUGGCUGUUCCAGAGACUGGAGAAUACAGGAGUUUUUAAGUCCAGGCAACUCCAUGGAGCACAUAAUGCUCUUUUGUUAAAAUAUUCCAAGAAAUCUGAACUGUGGACAGCCCAGGAAACUGUUGUGUAUUUGGGGGACUACCUGAAUGUGAAGAAGAAAGGCAGACAAAGGAAUGCAUUUUGGGUACAUCAUCUUCAUCAAGAAGAAACUCUGGGGAGAUAUGUUGGGAAAGAAUAUAAGGAGCAGAAGGGGCUCUGGCACCACUUCAUCGAUGUGGAGAGGCAGAUGACUGCACAGCACUAUGUGACAGAAUUUAACAAGAGACUUUAUGAACAAAAUAUUCACACACAGAUAUUCUACAUACCAUCCUCAGUAUUACUGAUUUUAGAGGGCAAGACAAUAAAAGGAUGUGUCAGUGUGGAACCUUACAUACUGGGAGAAUUUGUAAAAUUGUCAAAUAACACGAAAGUGGUGAAAACAGAAUACAAAGCCACAGAAUAUGGCUUGGCUUACGGCCACUUUUCUUAUGAGUUUUCCAAUCAUAGAGAUGUUGUGGUUGAUUUACAAGUGCAUUUACACUUGUGAGAGGUCUGAGGGAAGAUGGUGCAUUUUGAUGGCCACCACAGUCUGCCCUUGCACCACACAGAUCUGGUGCUUCACAGGUUUGGGGAUCAGUGCCUCCAUGAGCUCACCGGAAGUUUACAGAAAGAUUGAUGGAGCAGGUGAGAACCAUUCAGAUCUCCUGAUACGGGGAGUAUAGUUGACUGACACCCCCAGCUUGCACCCCUCUCGAUCUACCACUGUGUUCACAAUUGAAGUCAUGCUCCCCCAGUGGCUCUCAGCCAGUGACUAAGUAAAGCAAGGAUGCCAGGCGUAAAAUACUUCUAACGGGUGACUAUGCACAAGCUCUUCCCAUUAGCCUGACCAGAACCUUCUUAGCACUCUGCUGUGGUCUCUGUUGAGACUCUUCCUGCCCAGUCCUCCUCUGUCUGCCCUCUCCUUUCACAGUGCCAGACCUCCAUCAUGGUCUCCCCCACUGAUCCUUUACAGUCAUUUCUCCCAACCAAUACCUUAUAUGUCUAAUCCCUUCUUGGCAUUGGCUUCUUGAAAAACCCAAACUAACAAAAGUUUAUUAAAGAAAAAUUUUUAAUUUAUCUUAUUAACAAAAUAAAGGAGGAAAAUCAUAUUAUAAUCUCGAAGAUGUAGACAAAUCAGUUUAUGGUUAAAAAAAGCUCUUUGCAAACUAGGCAUAAAGGAAAAGGUUCUGAAUCAGAUAAAGGGUAUUUUAACUUUUUUUUUUUAAAGGAAUAUCAUAAUUAAUAGUGAAGCACUUAAAGUUUUCCAUUUGAGAAAGGGGAUAAGCAAAUUAGCUCACUAUACCAACCCUAUCCACCAUUUGGAAAAAUCAGAAAAUAUAUAUAUUGUCUCUGUCCCUAGUUCCUGGCACAGAGCUCCUAAAUCCCUUGGAAUUUCCUGGUGAUAGGAGUGUCUCUUGUUAUAAUGAGGUGACUCUACACCUCAAUCAAUCAUCAGUAAAAGUGGGACAGUAAAUCAAUAAUAAAAUAACAUUUUGGGGACAAUUAGGGAUUUUUAAUGUGUAUUGAGUGUUAGAUAAAAUUAAUGAAGUGACGUCUUUUAAAAAUACUAAAGCCAAAAAAAAGUGAAAGAUGCUUGGCUUUUUCUUGAUAGUCUUGAAGCAAGGAGAAGGGUACAUAAGAAUUCAUUACACUAGUCUUUCCCCUUUUGUAGAUAUAUAUAUUUUUUUAAUUAAUUAAUUUAUUUAUGGCUGUGUUGGGUCUUCGUUUCUGUGCGAGGGCUUGCUCUAGUUGUGGCAAGCGGGGGCCACUCUUCAUCACGGUGUGCCAUCCUCUCACUGUUGCGGCCUCUCUUGUUGCGGAGCACAGGCUCCAGACGCGCAGGCUCAGUAAUUGUGGCUCACGGGCCCAGCCGCUCCGCGGCAUGUGGGAUCUUCCCGGACUGGGGCACGAACCCGUGUCCCCUGCAUCGGCAGGCGGACUCUCAACCACUGCGCCACCAGGGAAGCCCCUGCUUUUGUAUAUAUUUUUAAAUCUCCAGAAAUGUUCUUUAAAUGUAAGAUCGUAUAAAGGAAAAAAUACCAAGAAAACUCCAAAGGACUGGAUAGAUAGAGAUGAUCAAAACCAAGAUUUACAUCAAACAAACUAAUCAGAAAUGAAUAUAAUGAGUGUUGGACAAUGUAAAAUCCUGCAGAAAAAUCAAGAAGAAAUAGAAUUAUGUAUUGGGUGAGAGACUGAGGACAGUGAAAAGAGAUUGCUAGCAGCAAAAAGAAGCCAUUAACUGACAGAGUGACUUUUUUUUUUUUUUUUUUUUUCACACGGGCCUGUCACUGUUGUGGCUUCCCCCGUUGUGGAGCACAGGCUCCGGACGCGCACGCUCAGCGGCCAUGGCUCACGGGCCCAGCCGCUCCGCGGCAUGUGGGAUCUUCCCGGACCGGGGCACGAACCCGUGUCCCCUGCAUCGGCAGGCGGGCUCUCAACCACUGCGUCACCAGGGAAGCCCCAGAGUGACCUUUUGGAUGUUGUAGAACAGGGAUCAGCAAACUGGCCCAUGGAUCAAAUCCUGCCGCCAUCUGUUUUUGUAAAGUUUUACUGCAGCACAGUCACACUCACCCAGUUAUGUAUUGUCUCCGGCUGAUUUUGUGUUACAGUGGCGGAGUGGAACAGUUGUGUCAGAGACUAUUUGUCCUGCAAAGUCAAAAAUAUUUACUGUCUGGCCCUUUACCAAAAAACUUUGUCAACCCUUGUUGUAGAAGAUGAAAGCGGAAAAAAAAAAGGUCGGGAUGUUUACACACUUUGUUACAUAUGGUUUGUUGGUAACAUAUUACAAAGAAAUAUUGAUGUCUCUACUAACGUAAAAGAAAAAGGGGUAAUAAUGGGUGAAGAAACUGGAAAUUGAAGGUAAUAGAGAAAGAAGUUAUUAGAAAGCAUAUGUCAGAGCACAUUUUUCUUUGUGAAGUGAAAAAGAUAGGAUACCUGCUAAGUUAGAUGAGACUAGCAAAGUCAGGAAUUUGAAAGGAAUAAAGAUUUUGAAACAAUACAUAUCUCUGUAUUUCAAAAGGCAGAAAUAGAACUAUUGAGAGGAAUUUGCAGAAAAUUACAUUUUAAAAAUCUCUUUAAAUUGUUAUUUAUUUACACCAACACCCAUAUAUCUGGCUUAAGAAAUUAAAUGUCCUGAUCUCUACCUCCUCCUCCCCACAAGAGGCAAUCGCUGCCCGGAAACUGUUGGUUCUCAUUCCCCUUAAUGUUGUUACUCAUUUAUUUAAUAUGAUACACUUAUAUUUUGUAUAAAAGUAACAAUAAAUAUCCAGUAUUAGUUUUCUGAAAUACUUUUAAGCUUUGUAUAAAUACAGGAAAAGACCAGCUGGGUUUAAAAAGAGCCACAGACUUUCUCAAAAGUGAAAAAUACAGUCACUGAUAUUUAUAAUUUAAUAGAAAGGUUAAAUAGCUGACUAGGCAUAGCUCAAGUAAGCAUUAUUAAAAUGGAAGGGAAAUGUGAAGAAAUUAACCAAAAUGCAGCAGAAAGAUAAAGGGAUAGAAAAUAUAAAAGAGAGACUAAGAGAUUUGGAGGAAAGAAGGAGAAGGUCUAACUAACAUCACUAGCUGGAGUUCUAAAAGGAGAAAAAGAGAAUGAAGGAGAGGAAAUCCUCUCAAUCAAGUGAAGAAAAUGAAUCAAGGAGGGCAUGAUCCAUUGUGUCAGAUGCUGCUGAUAGAUAAGAUGAGGGCUGUGAACUACAUUGUUGAAGUUAGCGAUGUGGAGUUCCCUGCUGACCUUGAUAUGGGCAGUGUAGUUUCAUACUGGGGUUGAAAACUUGCCUGGAAAGGUGUGUUAGUUUUCUUUUGCUGCCCAAUUAAUUACCACACACUUAGCAGCUCAAAGCAACACUCAUUUAUCAUGUCACAGUCACCAUGGGUCAGAAGGCUGGGCACAGCUUAGCUGGUCCUCUGCUCGGUGUCUCCCUGGGCUGUGAUCAAGGUGUUGGCCAACUGUGUUCUCAUCUGGAGGCUUAACAAGGGGAGAAUGCACUGCCAAGCUCACCAGGUUGUUGCAGAAUCAUCUCCUCACAGUUGCAGGGCUGAGGCCCACAUUUCUCUGUAGGCUGUUGGCAGAGGGCCACGCCCACCUCCCAGUGGCCACCUGCAGCUUCCUGCCAAGGGGCCCUUUCACAGCGCCUCUCAUCAGCUAAGCUUCUUCAAGACCAGCAGGAGAGCAUCUCUUUCCUUUCCAGUAGGUUAAGAGGGAGUUUUAUGUAACAUAACCUAAUUAAGAGCCUAUUCUGAUGGAUAGAAGCCACUCACAACUUACACCCACAUUCAAGGGGAGGGAGUUAUACAAGGGUGUGAUUCUCUGGGGUUUACCUUAGAGUGUAUCCACACAAAAGGGUUUAAGAGAGAAGAGAGGAAAAGAAUUGGAGGAAGAGCAAAUAGAACCCUCUGUGUGUUUUGCUGUAAUAGGGAACAAAGGAAUGGUGUGGUAUGUAGUGGGGAAAGUGGAAUCAGGAGAGAUACAGAUUCUUUUUUUGUAAAUGGGAGAAAUUACAGCAUAUUGAUGGGAGAGUUGAAGAGAUUUAAGAAAUGAUGAUACAGGAGAAACAGAAUAAAGAAUUGUUGGUGCAAUGCCGUUGAGUAGGUGAGAGGGAUGGAAUCAUACAAAUGGAGGGAAUGGCUUUAGACCAAAGCACGGAUAGUUUACCCAUGGUAACAGGUGAGAAGGCAGAGCCCUGAGUGCAAUGCACAUGGGCGUGAAUAGGGAUGUAGGUAAUAAUGUGAGGAAACUCUCUGUGAGUCCUUCUCUAGCUCUUCUUGAAUUCAUUUCUUUCUCUGUCCCUAUGACCAGAACCUUAAUUGAGGUCUGUGUGAUCUAUGACUCCUGUUUUGCCCCACAUUAUCCUCCGAGACACUGGUGAUCUCUCUUAAAUACAAGCCUUACCAUGUCAUUAACUUGCUUUAAAUCCUACCAUAAAACACUAACAAACAAGGAGGAAAAAACAGACAAAGAGUGUAAAUAGUGAAUUCACAAAAAAAGGAAAUACUAUUUUCAGUCAUCAAAUUGCAAAUGUGUUAAAAGGUAAUAAUUCUGGAAAGGUUGGAAGAAACUCUCUUAUAACUGAUGAAGGGAAUGUAAACUAUGACAGCCUUUACGGAAAGAACUUUGACAAUCUAUCAUGUUCAUUCUUGGACCCAGUAAUUGUACUUCUACAAAUCUCUGAUGAGGAAAUAAUCAGAAAUGUGAACAAAUGUUUAUAUACAAGCAUGUCUGUUACAACUUUACUUAUAAUAGUAAAAAAAAAUUUUUUUUAAUAAAAAAUAAAAAAAAAUAAUUUUUCAAGAGCAGGGAAAUAGUUAUAUAUUAUAAUUUAUCCAUAUGCCUAAAUAUUAUUCAUCCAUUGAAAUUGUAUAUUUCCAGAAAUAUUUAAUGAUAUACAAACUUCAAAGUAAAGAAAAGCAAUCUAUAAACUAGCAUUUAUAGUAUUGAUCACAAUCUCAGUAUAUAUAUGUAAAUAGAAAAAAUAAUAUAUAGACAAUAUAUGGAAAUGUGUAUUGUGUUUUUCCCUGGCUAGUGUAUUGGUGGUAGGGAAUUUUAUUUUCUUCUUUAUUAUCUAUAUUUUCCAAGUUUUCUGCAAUAAGCAUGUAUUUCUUAUACCAAAAAAUAGUAUUUAAUAAGAAAUUCAAACGGUUCUCUUUUUCAGUAGAAAGUCCACAUUAUGGACGAUCAUAUAGUGCUUUCUCCUUUAGCCCAUUGCCACUGUCAGUCUUGUAAUAUACUCUCUAGGAACACCGAACUGCUUAUGGUGUCAGUUUGUAGUCCACCCUGCCUCCUUCCACCCUGGUACAAAGAUGCUUUGUCACUUGGUGAGUGUUUUCAUGCUUAUACCUACAGGGACAAUUACACCCUAUAUCUUCUCAUCCUUGAAGGCUCACUUCAACCAACACCACCUUCAGAAAACCCUCCCUGAUACCCUUCAUUCUCAUUCCCUCCCUUCCCACAACCUAGGUAAGUUACCCCUCCUUGGAACUCCCCGAAUAACUAUGCAACGAUCACUGCACAGUUAUCAUGGAAGCUAAUAUACCCUUGUGUCGUAUUACCUACACUAUAGGUGAAUUAUAAUUAUCUGUCGUAUUAUUUAUGUAUUACUUCAUGACAAAUUACCCCCAAAUUUUAGAGGCUGAGAAUAACAAUUAUCUACCAUCUCAAAGUUACUACAGAUCUUGGGGAUUGGGGAUUGGCUUUGCUGUGUAGUGCUGACUCAGAAUCUCUCUUGAGGUUGCUGUCAAAAUGUCAGUGGAACUGCAGUCAUCUGAAAGCUUGACUGGGACUUAAGGUUCUGCUUCCAAGCCUUCUCAUGUGACUGUUGGCAGGAGGCAUCUUCCUUGAUGACUGUUGGUCAGAGACCUCACUUCUUCACCACGUGGGCCUGUCCAUAUGACAAUAUGGCAGCUGGCCUCAACCAGAGCAAAAAAUCUUAAGGUCAAGAGGGACAGAAGUCACAACAUCUUUUAUAACCUAGCUUCAGACGUGACAUACUAUCACUUUUAUAUUCUGUUAGUUGCACAGACCAACCCUGGUACCGUGUGGGAGGAGAUCAAAAGGGCAUGAACAGCAAGAGGCAGGGAUCACUCGGAGGCCCCCUCGAAGGUGACUCUGUCUAUCUCACUAGCCUAAACUGAGCCUUGGGCCCCUUUGUAUCCCCCAUCCCACACUUGCAUUUUAUAGUGUCUGCUUAACAGUUGGUAAUUAGUUCAUUUUUGUUUAAGUAAGUGAGUAAAUGAAUGAGACAUCAGUGGUAAUUCUAUGUAUUUUAUAUGCUCAGUAAGUGCUUAUUAGCUAACUACCUCUUGCUACAAUAAGGCAAGAGGCAAUGAUAAUUUAUGUCUUAAUUAUAGAAGUAAAGAAUGUCUGAGCUCUCCAGCCUUCAGAAAACCGUUCUGCAAUAAGGUGGGUUGUGGGUAGAUAAGUGGAUGGACAGAACGAUGGAGAAAGUUGGAAGGAAAGAACAGCAAAGUUCCCCUCAGCCCCACCUCUGUUUUUAUAAGGAAAACUAUUUUGCUUCAUCAUGUUUACUUUUUUCUAACUUCUUCCCCCUAUUCUUUAAUUUCUCAUAGCAAAAUUGAUAUUAGGAAAUUUUCAAGUAAUUUUUAGAAAAAUUCCAUUAUUGAACUAAAUAAUUAAUUUAUAUUAUAAUCUUUUGUGUGUAGAGUUGUGAAAUGACAAUAUUUUGAAAGCUAAGUUUGAGGAGUUGAGUUCAAGAUAAGGAGACAAUUUCUGUCCCUUCGAACAUCAGAAAUGUCAGGCUUUUGUUACUGUCUUUCAGCACUGCUAUUGUUUUGAGGAUGAUGCUUGUUCUGUGCAGUUUGGUUAUACAGAUGUCCUCUGCCUGAACAGUUCAGUAGAAACUAGGUGUAAAGUGUAAGAAGCAAGAGAGAGUGAGAGAAAAAAAAAAUAAAUCUCUUUAUUAUGGUGCAUAAACCUUCAGUGUGAGGGAGCUUUGCAGCUGCACAAGGAGAAAAAUGCAUUCAAAACUAUAAUGCCAGUGUGAAUAAUCCUUUCUCAAAUGCUGCUUGCAGACUGCUCCAGCUUUGUCAGGUGAACUUGAACCAGGCCAUCAGAUUGGCCCCUAUUCCCAUUGCACACUCUGUCUAUCACCCCAGGGCAUUCACCAUCUUGACUGUUGUUUAAAGAGAACAAGCAAUCCAUCAUUGAACCAGGGAGUCACUUUCUCAUAGAAAAGUAAAAUCAGCAUGUGACACUACUCAGCCCUAGUGUUUUGCAGAUUAAAAUGAUACAUGGCGACUCACGUGUUACUAGGAAGAUUAAGUCAGUUAUCUUGUUCUGCUGCCCAGACAAAAGAAUUCCCCUCAAGCAGUAAGGGGAGCUUUACAGAAACUGAAAAAGUUGGACUCAACUAUACGGUGGUAAAUCAGAGAAUCUAACAAGAAGGCAGAAAAAGAAUGUUACUUUACAUCUAGGCACCUUCCCUGAAAAAAUGGUACAAAGAAGAAUCCAUCACGAAAGGAGGAGCUAUUAAAUCUUUGUACAAGCCUCUGCUGUUUGAGAUGCCAAUUUUAUUACCAGAGAUGGGCACGCAAUUUAUUGUCUGACUGCCUUAGCAAUUGAUUUAAAUAUGGUGAAAUAAAUGAGCAGCCGCUGGCCCUGGGGCAGUUAGCUUCAUGAGAGUAGGUUGCAAAUCCUGCAGCUACAGUAUCUAGUUAUUAACACUGUUAUUCCAUUGUGUGAUCUACACAGUAAUAAAAUUUUUAAUGAAUCUCAUACAGAAAUGAGUUCACAAUGGAAGGUUGGGAUUACAGCCUUUAGUUUAACAAGCUGAGGUAAACAUUUAUCAUAUUACAGAAAAUAGUAUUUUUAAAUAAUUGAAUCUGUAACUGUUAUAUUUGUUUUCAAAAGUAAUUUUCAAAAGGAAGAAGACCCAAGUGAGUAUCAAACUGUUUAAGAUUAAAUAAGUGCAUUAAUUAAAGUUAACAUGAGAAAAAUUCAUUUCUCUCUAAUUAACUUUUUUAACUUAAAAUGAUAUUCAAGUUUAAUUUGUGUUUUGCCAUUUAAGCCAUACACUGAAAAUGACACAGGUUAAAGAGAAGGAAUUCUGUUUUCUUUUAGGUUCUCAUGAAUUUUAGGCAACACUGUUGUUAGAAAUGUCUUCACUAUGUACAUUUUGCCCAUACUUUGCCAAGCCAAAUUCUUCCUUAAAGUACAGACCAUUUUUCUAGUCAAUGGGGUUUCAAAUCAAAGAAUGCCCUAUUUUGUUACUUUUAACAAAAUUUUCAAACAUUGCUUAUCUAUAUCCAUCUAUAUAUUCUAUACAUGUUCUAUAUGAAUAAAUGAUAGUGCUGGAAUAUGCAAGUUUUCUCUGCCAAGGACAGACACCAGAUUUAACCCUCUUUUCCUACACAAAUCACCAAAAAGGAGAGGGACUAUUUAAACACUUUUGUUAGACAUUUGACAUGGUCUUUUCCAAAUAACAGAAGGACCCACAGAGACUGGCUUUGAAGGGCCGUGUUCCCAACGUGGUUUCAAUAGGGAACAUUCUCUCUGGGCUGAGCACCUGGAUCGUGUGCAGCGUUCCCUUGGGCUGGACAGCAGUCACUGAGCCACCUGCAUCGGAGAGGAUGGUAUAUGAGGGACGGGAGCCUCUGGCCAGCUGUAUCCUUCCCCAGCCUCCGGGGCAUGUUAGUGCAGGAGCCAGGCCAGGCCCGACCAGCACACAGGCAUCAUCUGAGUGGCUGGCCUCUUUGCCCUACCAUGGACAUGUUAGCAAGGUCCUUCAAUGGGUGUAGAUAAAGGUUAAGUGCAGUGGAGCCUGGGGCCGUUGAAACAUGCCUUGUGCAAAGACUCAAAGCCAUAAAUUGUACUGACAAAGGCAAUUUAAAAUAUCAAAGUCCUAGGUCUUUCAGACGAGCACCAAGGAAGACGAUGUGAGAUGGAGCUGGACGUUAGUGAGAGCUCUGCAAUUCAGCGUGACAUCGACAACUACUGCAAAGAGACCCGAGCUCAUCCCCUCCUGCCUGCUCUCCUCACUCCAUCCCGGCAGCAUGGCCCCUGCCCUGUCUGAGCUGAGCAAGGACACAGUCAACAAACAAAAAAUUAUUCCUAAGCAUCCUGAGACAACAUGAUCACAUAUAAAGGCUAAUUAAACUUGGCAUCUCUAAAACUCUGCAUUGCUAAGUAUCAGCUUUUAUUACAUUUCACUCUUGGUUACCAGAGGGAAGGGGAAAAAUGCAAACAAUCAAAAAGAAGCCUUUUGUUUAAGAUCCGUUCUACAUAGGCCAGUGACACAUUGUUGUUGUUCAGUGGCUAACACAGUAGCUGAUGAUUGGGAGACAGAAAGCUCCAAAUUGCCCUGGAUGUGAAGAGAUGCCAGAUUUUGUCAGUAACUUAAAAAUUAAAUUAAAAGACAGAUCAAGAUGAAUUAAGUGCUUUGGUCACUUGGUAUAUGUCAACUAUUUUAGUUCCUUGGUGAUUUUUGAAGAUGUGCCCAAAAUGCCUUGCUCAGAACAUUUACCAACCAGAGUGUAUCUCAAAUGCUAAAAUGGUGAAUUGAAAAAAAAGGUGAAUUGAAAAAGAAAAGUCAAUACUUUAUAAAUUUUAAAAAUCAGUCCAGUCAUCAAGCAAAUAUUGUUUUCAUGAAGCAUUUUAUAGUUCAGUACAGCUAGCUCAUGCAAUUGCUAGAAGAGAGAAGAGACCCUGCCAAGUGAUCUGUGUAUUUAUUGUAGUGUUUCUACUGGAAAGACUAAAUAUAUAUUCCACCCUGCUGACAGUCGCUUCCCUUUUGCCCCUGCAAAAUAACCCUAGAGUUAUUUUCUCUUUCAAACGCUAACAACAUCAUGUUUCUUGUGAAAAGAACUAAGACUCAGAGAGCCAAAGGCACCUAAGUCUAAAUUCAGAAGUAUGACUUUUCAGGAAAUACACCCACUUUUUUUUUUUUUUUUUUUUUUUUGGAGAAAACUGUUUAAAAAUCCAGACUGAAUAGCUGCUUCUCAGUUGGAAAGGUCACUUUAAGUGCACUGUCCACAACAUUAACUAGAAAUGACCCUUGUCAUCACUCUCAGCAUGUGGGACAGAAGAAACAAAUGAAAAGGCACACCCAAAAGAUGGUUUCUAGAAUAGGCCACUUGGAUAAUAAAUGAGAUGCUGUGCUCGUGGACCACAUGGGCUCCUGAGGCAUUGUUCCCACUGUGAGAGCAUGCUGGGUGGCUUCGAGAUUACAAGGCUGCAGAGAACUGCAGCAUCUCCACUGGACCAUCAUCCCAAAGUGAUGAAAACACUGUCUAAAGUUUCCCAGCUAAGAACACUCCUUCAGUAAUGUAUUUCAGAUUGUGAUGUUGUAUUUUGGUGAUUGUAUAUUCCUUCCUAUGCACAUUUUUAGGAGAAUAAAGCAAGGAAAAUGUUUUAAUUAUAUGAUGUGCACACAGUUUUUUCCCCCUGGUAUUUAGCUGUUGUCGGGAAGGACUUCACUAAGCAGAAUGUUCUUUGUCCUUGCUACAGUAAACAGUUAAAUUAUAGAGCCAGCUGGUUGCUUGCCAGGGAGGUUGGAGAGGAAAGAGCAUCCUGUCUUCACUUUUCUUCCCAUGUUACCAAACUGCUUCUUAUAGACCCCCAUCCUCAUCUCCUGCACCCUCUCCUCUUCCUCCCUCCCUACCUCUCUAAAGCCAAAAACAUUAAAAUUAAAAAUCGAGAACUUCUGGCACUGAACUGAUGGGUGGGGCUACACCGAUUUUCUGGUCUUUCCUAUUCUGGGAAAUAACUUUUAAACAUCAGCAGGUGGUGACGUCACUUCUAGUUCUACCUGCAGUCACUCUCAUUUGGCCUCCUUGAAGGGAAGAGUCUGGUGAAAUCACAGGAAUGUGCCCUGGCUCUGCCACUUACUAGAAGAAUGGUACCUAGCCUCUCAGAGCCUUAGCGUUCCCAUAUGUAAAAUGGGUGUAAAAAGACACACCUUGUGAUGUCGUGAGGAUGGAGAUAAUGCAUGUGAAGGACCUAGCUCAGUGGCUGGCACAUUUUGGUGUUCAGUAAGUGAUAGAAGUUUGUUAUCAUUAUUAUCUAAACUCUUUCUCCUCUGCAGUCCUGCUGAAUUCAUUUCCCCAGCCCCACUCUCACUAACUUUAGUGGCCAAGGCCACUUAACUGCAGGUAACCUCAGACUCUCCCCCCAGAUGCAGGGGAUAGUCUUGCUUUUAAGAAGUCAUUUCUUUUUUUUGAAAAUUUUUAUUGAAGUAUAGUUGAUUUAUGAUGUUGUGUUAGUUUCUGGUAUACAGCAAAGUGAUUCCAUUUAUUUAUAUAUAUAUAUAUAUAUAUAUAUAUUCUUUUUCAUAUUCUUUUCCAUUAUGGUUUAUUACAGGCUAUUGAAUAUAGUUCCCUGUUCUGUAUAGUAGGACCUUGUUGUUUAUCUAUUUUAUGUAUAGUAGUGUGUAUCUGUUAAUCCCAAACUCCUAAUUUAUCCUCCCCCCACCCUUUCCCCUUUGGUAACCAUAAGUUUGUUUUCUAUGUCUGUGAGUCUGUUUCCAUUUUGUAUAUAAGUUCAUUUGUACCUUCUUUUUAGAUUCCACAUAUAAAUGAUAUCAUAUGAUAUUUGUCUUUCUCUUUCUGACUUAUUUCACUUAGUAUGAUAACCUCUAGGUCCAUCCAUGUUGCUACAAAUGGCAUUAUUUCAUUCUUUUUUAUGGCUGAGUAAUAUGCCAUUGUAUACAUGUACCACAUCUUCUUUAUCCAUUCAUCUGUCAAUGGACAUUUAGGUUGCUUCCAUGUCUUGGCUAUUGUAAAUAAUGUUGCUAUGAACAUUGGGGUGCAUGUAUCUUUUCAAAUUAGAGUUUUCUCUGGAUAUAUGCCCAGGAGUGAUAUUGCUGGAUCAUAUGGUAAUUCUAUUUUUAGUUUUUUAAGGAACCUCCAUACUGUUCUCCAUAGUGGUUGUACCAAUUUACAUUCCCACCAACAGUGUAGGAGGGUUCCCUUUUCUCCAUACUCUCUCCAGCAUUUGUUAUUUGUAGACUUUUUUUAAUGUUAGCCAUUCUGACUGGUGUGAUACUUCAUUGGACUUUUUUGGUUUUUUUGGUUUUUUUGCGGUAUGCGGGCCUCUCACUGUUGUGGCCUCUCCCGUUGCAGAGCACAGGCUCCGGAUGUGCAGGCUCAGCGGCCAUGGCUCACGGGCCCAGCCGCUCCACGGCAUGUGGGAUCCUCCCGGACUGGGGCACGAACCCGUGUCCCCUGCAUCGGCAGGCAGACUCUCAACCACUGCUCCACCAGGGAAACCCCCUUCAUUGGAGUUUUGAUUGCAUUUCUCUAAUAAUUAGUGAUGUUGAGCAUCUUUUCAUGUGCCUAUUGGCCAUCUGUAUGUCUUCUUUGGAGAAAUGUCUAUUUAGGUCUUCUGCCCAUUUUUUGAUUGGAUUAUUUGGUUUUUUGUUAUUGAGUUGUAUGGGCUGUUUGUAUAUUUUGGAAAUUAAGCCCUGUCGGUCACGUCGUUUGCAAAUAUUUUGGAGAAGUCAGUUCUAAUCAGGGUGUGAAGAAGUGGGAAAUGCAAAUAACAAAAACAGCAACAGUAAUAGGUUCCAUUCAUGUAGUUAUUUACUAAUGCUUAUUCAUCAUUAUCAUGUCAUUUAAACUGUAUCAAAUUACUGUUUUUUAAGUCAAAAUAGUCUAAUAUUGACAAGUUCAUUAUGGCCUAGCCUAAAUAAUACUCAACAUGAUCCUCUUGUUCUCUCUCUCUUCAACCUCAUCACCAGGUAGUCCCACAUCCACCCAGCCUCAUCUGACUGCAGUUCCCCAGUACAUAGAAAUAUAAUUGAAGUGACAUCAGCAAGAUGGCAGAAUAGGAGUUCUCCGCCUUCAUCCCCCCACAGUACAUCGACUUUUACAGUCACCCACGGAUAAGAGCACCCUUGUGGGCGUCCAGGAGUCCAGCAGAGAAACCCCAGCAUGCCACUGAAGCAGAAGAAUCCAGGAAUAGAUUCAUUGGAGAUGGUAAGAGGAGCAGUUUCACUUUGCCCACAUCACUCUUCUCCUAAGGCUCGGUGCCAGGAAAGACCCCCACGGCCAUGACUUCUUUCACAGGGAAGACUGAGAGCAUGUGAGUGAGUGCCCAGGUUCCCCAGCUGGGCAGGAUGCUACCCAAGAGACCCACUUCUUUCUCACUUCACCCAGAUUACUGAGGGGAUCUGCAACCUUGAGUGUUGGGAGAAGUUGAGAGUACAGCAGCCAGGGCUCGGAAUUCAGCAAAGGAAUACUACUAAUUGCUUCAUGGUUCUGCCUACUAACUGAUUCACAGACUCUUGUCAGAAAGUCCCUCCACGAGAAAUGAUGGAUGCCUCACAUGCAGCCCCCCCCCAACGCCCCCCCACAUGCACCCCCAACGCCUAACUGCCCGCCUCCUCGCGUAGCCGUCUUCUGUGGACAGUGAGAACAAGUACUUGCAGAUGACUAGCAAGCAAGCGCAGAAAGCCAGUCUAAUUCUGCAAGAUUAGAUGAAGACUCACAGACUUGAGCGUUUCAGAACACUUCAUCAGGGAAAACAAAUGGCACACUUUCAACACCUAGCCAGGCUUUGCAGGACUGAGAGAAGGUAUACACUCUUAGGAACUUCCCCAAGAAGGAACAAAAAGUGUGGAGCAGGCACACCCAUAGAAAAGGUCUGGAAAAGCCUCAGAACCUCUGGCUGGGCUAUCAAGUGAAAGUAUCUCUCUGCUAAAGCCAGUCACUAAAGCCUAGAGGUGACUGCUGCUUCAAAGGUGAAAACAGCAAUGUAAGACUUCAAGCAAGGAGCAUGAAAAAUCAAGGAAACAUGAUAUCAUCAAAGAAGCACAAUAAUUUUCUAGUAACUGACCCCAAAGAAAUAGAAAUCUAUGAAUUGCCUGACAAAGAAUUCAAAAUAUAAUAAUUGUUUUAAGGAUGCUCAGUGAGUACAGUUCAGUGAGCACACAGACAGACCGUGUGACAAAUUCAGUAAAACAACGUAUGAACAAAACUGAGAGUUUCAAUAGAGAGAUGUAAACCACCUGAAAGAGAAAUUAAGAAAGCAAUCCCAUUUACAAUAGCGUCAAAAAAUAAAUAAAAUACUUAGGAAUAAAUUUAACCAAGGAAGUAAAAGAUCUGUACACUGAAAACUAUAAGACAUUGUUGAAAGAAAUUGAAAAAGAGACAAAUAAAUGCAAAGACACCCUAUGUUCAUGAAUUGGAAGAACUAAUAUUAAGAUGUCUAUACUAUCCAAAGCAAUCUAUAGAUUCAAUGCAAUCCCCAUCAAAAUUCCAAAGGCUUUGUUCAUAGAGAUAUUUUAAAAUCCUAAAAUUCUUACAGAACCACUAAAGGCCUCAAAUACCCAAAGCAAUCUUGGAAAGAAGAACAAAGCUGGAAGUAUCACACUUCCUGAUUUCAAACUAUAUUGCUUAACUAUAGUAAUCAAGAGUAUGGUACUGACAUAAAAACAAACACACAGACCAAUGGAACAGAACAGAGAUCCCAGAAAUACAGUCAACUAAUCUGAUAAGGACACCAAGAACAUUCAAAUGGGGAAAGGAUAGUCUCUUCAAUAAAUGGUGCUGGGGGCUUCCCUGGUGGCGCAGUGGUUGAGAGUCCGCCUGCCGAUGCAGGGGACACGGGUUCGUGCCCUGGUCCGGGAGGAUCCCACAUGCUGCAGAGCGGCUGGGCCCGCGAGCCAUGGCCUCUGAGCCUGCGCGUCCGGAGCCUGUGCUCCGCAACGGAAGAGGCCACAACAGUGAGAGGCCCGCGUACCCCCCCCCCCAAAAAAAAAAGAGAGUUUCUGUAGAAUAACUUCCUAAAAAUAGAAUUUCGGGUUCAAGGGGUAUCUGCUUUUUAAUUUUUGAAACAACCCCUCCAAAACCACGCCACAUAGGCUCCUUUCUUGUUCUACGAUGUAUUAUCAAAUGAUGAAGCAUUUUAUUUCAUUCUCCAAAUAAAUACAUUAAUUAUAGUUAUUAACUAUAAAUAAUGUCAUUCUAAAUCAAUGGUAAUUAUGAUUAUUCUAGAUUUUUACUAAUCUGGAUUUUUCUUUGAUACUUCAAUAGAACUCAUGUUGUUUUUUACCUUUCUCAAUUAUUACUUUAUUUUUUUAUUGAAGUAAGUUGCUGUACAAUAUUAUAUAAGUUACAGAUGUACAACAUGGUGAUUCACAAUUUUUAAAGGUUACACUCCAUUUAUAGCUAUUAUAAAAUAUUGGCUAUAUUCCCCAUGUUGUACAAUAUAUCCUUGUAACUUAAUUUAUACCUAAUAGUUUGUACCUCUUACUCCCCUUCCCCUAUAUUGCCCCUCCUCCCCCUUCCCCUCCCUUCUCCCCACUGGUAACCACUAGUUUGUUCUCUGUUAUUUUUGAAAUAACUAAAAAUCCGAAGUCUGUAUAAUUUUUAUAUUUAAAAUACCAUAUUCAUUUGUUACUGAACUUUGCCCCAAAGUCCAGCAAGCCAAAUGCUGAGACGUGGAGGUUUGCAUCAGACAAAAGGUUUAUUCAGGAGGCAGCCAAGUGAGGACAAAGAAGAAAAAGUCUCAAGUCAGCCUCCCCCAAGGCGAGGGGCUCGGAAUAUUUAUGGGAUAAAGCUGAGGCAUGGGGAGCGUGGGGAAAAGUGACUGAAGAUAAGGAAAAGGUGAGGUACUUGUCCUGCCCUGUAGAUGCCACAGGUGCAACUCAAUAACAAGCCUCUUCGUGGAGGAAAACGGCGGUUAGCAUGCUGUAAGGGUGGAGGUUUUGGCCCUCUGACAUCACAGGGUCACCAGUGGACACUCGCACAUGCCCAGUUGGAGGGUCGGUCGUCUCAAACCCGCUCGAACUAGACACAGCUUACUCCAAGUUCCUGAUAGAACAACUUGGGCAAACAUUGUUUAGGCUACCUGACACUUGAAGGACGUGCAAAUUUUUGCAAAAAUAAAGUGGAGAUUUAUCAGAGAAGGUACGUUACAGUGCAUUAUUUAUUAAACAAUUUAAAGGCUGUAACUGGUGACUACCCUUGGUUUCACAUUUGGUACACGUGUAUUUCCAAAGAAUAACCAAAUAGCAACCAUUUGUUGGGACUUACUAUGUGCCAACCACAUUACAUGUACUAGCUCAUUUAACUCUAUUUAGAAAUAGGGAACUAAAGCCAAAAUUAAGUUGACCACACAGCUAAUAAAUAUUAGAAAUGAGGUUUGAACCCAAGCUGACUGAUCCCCAAGCCCAGGCAUGUGAUACUCAGAGGAUUCAAAUUUAACUUUUCUAUUUUACUGUGAUAGAGCAAUGUGAAUGGAAGCUCAAGUAUAUUACAACGCACACAGAAAGGUGCUACUUAAGCCCACGCUCCACAGCUACCCAGCCCGAGCACUCUGAGGCGGGAGCACCAAUACCAGAGAGAAGCCGGCGCUGCAAGGAAGAGCCCACAUGCUGCACCUAAGACCCAACGCAGCCAAAUAAAUAAAUAAAAACAGGUGGGAGAGCUUUGAGAUGUUUCUUAAUUGAGUAUGCAUAUAAAUAGGAAUUUGGGACUGAUUGUUCUUUGUCUAUUAAAAAAAUUCCUCAUUCGUCAGCGUUAACUCCACAAAUACUUGCUGAGCUCCUACUGUAUGGGAGGCCCUGUUACAGACGCUGGAGAAUGAGAACCGGCGUGUGUGCCCGUGCGCGCACACUUCCUCCUGGAGCUUACUGUAACAAGAUAACUUGGUAAGUUCUUAUACCUGUUGGGGAUAAGUGUGAGGAAAAUAAAGAUGGUUUGACCUUUCCAAAGCGAUGUAAACAACUGGACAAGAAUAAACAAAUCAUACAUGUAUUCAAUA